rnacentral:rRNA from 1 species
UACAGAGGGGGCAAGCGUUAUUCGGAAUUAUUGGGCGUAAAGGGCGCGUAGGCGGCUUUUCAAGUGACGGGUGAAAUCCCUCGGCUUAACCGAGGAACUGCCUGUCAGACUGGAAGGCUUGAGACCGGGAGAGGUGAGUGGAAUUCGCAGUGUAGCGGUGAAAUGCGUAGAUAUUGGGAGGAACACCAGUGGCGAAGGCGGCUCACUGGACCGGAACUGACGCUGAGGCGCGAAAGCGUGGGGAGCAAACAGG